rnacentral:lncRNA from 1 species
AUGUGAUCUAUUCCUUCUCGAGUCAAUUUGUUAAAUUGUUGUAGGACUUCUAGCUUGAAUAUUUUUUCAAUUUCUUUUGAUAUUCCUUUAAAUCAGUUGUCUACCUUUCCAGUAAAGGUGUUUGUGGUUAUUAAAUAUUUUUACUCAUUGUUGUAAUUGGUUCCUUUCCCUAAGAUGAAGAAUAGUUCUAAAUUUUUAGCCCGUAUUUCUAGAAACUCUCCUAGUUCUCUUUUACAAUCUAAGUUUAGAAACUGGGU